rnacentral:rRNA from 1 species
GACGAACGCUGGCGGCGUGCUUAACACAUGCAAGUCGAACGGAAAGGCCCUGCUUUUGUGGGGUUCUCGAGUGGCGAACGGGUGAGUAACACGUGAGUAACCUGCCCUUGACUUUGGGAUAACUUCAGGAAACUGGGGCUAAUACCGGAUAGGAGCUCCUGCUGCAUGGUGGGGGUUGGAAAUUUUCGGCGGGUGGGGAUGGACUCGCGGCUUAUCAGCUUGUUGGUGGGGUAGUGGCUUACCAAGGCUUUGACGGGUAGCCGGCCUGAGAGGGUGACCGGCCACAUUGGGACUGAGAUACGGACCAGACUGCUACGGGAGGCAGCAGUGGGGAAUAUUGCACAAUGGGCGGAAGCCUGAUGCAGCAACGCCGCGUGCGGGAUGACGGCCUUCGGGUUGUAAACCGCUGUCGCCUGUGACGAAGCGUGAGUGACGGUAAUGGGUAAAGAAGCACCGGCUAACUACGUG